UCUCUCCGCUAAUAGGAUGCUCUGUGGAGGAGCCCUUGGGAGGGUCUCACUGUGCAGCCCUGGCUGACCUGGAAAUUGCUGUGUAGUCUAGACGGGGCUUGGACUCACAGAGAUCCACCUGCCUCAGAUAGGCUCCAUUGCUCUCCGUCUUUUCCAUCCUACGGUAGGAGUGUGCUUUGAGGAGUGACAUCACAGGCUCUGGCUGACUCGCACUGUAAGGUAAGGUCUAUACCACAGGGAUAAUGAAGGUAGAAGCAGUGCGAACUGGGAGCUGAGGUAUUCAAGGGCUGAGCCCUGGCUCGCCCACCCUGCAGGCCUCUCUACUAGGCAGAGAGCUAUGCUGCUGUCUUGUUUAAGCAGUAUAACUGGGAGACUCCACUUUCCUCGGUUAAACCCACUCCUUGCUGGUGAACACUCAUUCCUUUACAUCACAUGACUCUUCACUGGCCUUCGCCAGUGAGUCUUAGGUCAUUUCCUCUUAACUGUCCGAGUCCAAGUUCUUGUUCCUCAGAUCACAAGCAGAGCUUGUUGAGAAGCUAUCUUCAUGCCUGCAGCAACGGAUGAAGAAUGUCCCAGCUACAGCUACUUCAACCAGUUCCCAAAAUAGUUGCCUGAAGCCCAGUAGGGACAGUAUGACUCAGUUCCACUCCGCAGGACAGUGCUCAUGCCAAACCUGCCUGUUUCUGUAGAGGCAACUUCGUUGCUGGGAGAAGGGCAUCAGGGACGCAUGUGCAGAACCCAUGGAAGUUUUCAGAAGACACAGCUAGUCUGUGUGUCUAUCAGUCAGGCUUGGCAAUAUGUUCCAGACUCAUUCCUCUGUGACAAGCAACCCCAUUUGUUCCUUAGGACAGCCUCCUUCUAGACUAUGGUGUGCCCCAAAAUCAGCUCAUAAAUAUAUCUUUGUCUGGAAUAAAAAGUCGAACUGUUAGGUUACUUGUAUCUAACUAGAGGUUGGUAGUAAAACAGAGACCUGGGGUGAGCGUGAAGGCUCAGCUGAGCAGAGAGCCUCCCCAACCCUCCCCCCCCCCAAAUUCUGUCCCCAG
rnacentral:lncRNA from 1 species